GAUGAACGCUGGCGGCGUGCUUAACACAUGCAAGUCGAACGAAGCGCUUGGAUGGAAUUCUUCGGAAGGAAGCUCGAGUGACUGAGUGGCGGACGGGUGAGUAACGCGUGGGUAACCUGCCUCAUACAGGGGGAUAACAGUUAGAAAUGACUGCUAAUACCGCAUAAGCACACGUGAUCGCAUGAUCGAGUGUGAAAAACUCCGGUGGUAUGAGAUGGACCCGCGUCUGAUUAGCUAGUCGGUGGGGUAAUGGCCCACCAAGGCGACGAUCAGUAGCCGGCCUGAGAGGGUGAACGGCCACAUUGGGACUGAGACACGGCCCAAACUCCUACGGGAGGCAGCAGUGGGGAAUAUUGCACAAUGGGGGAAACCCUGAUGCAGCGACGCCGCGUGAAGGAUGAAGUAUUUCGGUAUGUAAACUUCUAUCAGCAGGGAAGAAAAUGACGGUACCUGACUAAGAAGCCCCGGCUAACUACGUGCCAGCCGCCGCAGUAA
rnacentral:rRNA from 1 species